UGGGGGGUGGCUCAGUUUGGUAGAGCAUGAGACUCUUAAUCUCAGGGUUGUGGGUUUGAGACCCACACUGGGCAAAA